rnacentral:rRNA from 1 species
UUCCCUCAGUAAUGGCGAAUGAACAGGGAAAAGCUCAAAGUUGGAACCUCCUUCCCCUAGGGUGGGCGGAUUGUAAACUAAAGUUUUUGGGUAGUUUGGCUAGCUCGGUAAAUAAGUUCUCUGGAAAGAGGCGACAAAGAGGGUGAGAUCCCCGUUUUUGGCCGAAGUUUAGUCUUGCGUUUGCCCAGAAAUGAAGAGUCAGGUUGUUUGGUAUUGCAGCCUAAAGUGGGAGGUAAAUCUCUCCUAAAGCUAAAUAUUGACGAAAGACCGAUAGCGAACAAGUACCGUGAGGGAAAGAUGAAAAGCACCUUGAAAAGGGGGUCAAAAAGUACGUGAAAUUGCUGAAAGGGAACCGUAUGAAAUCAGUCUGGCCUAGUAGUAAUCAACCUGAACUUUGGUUUGGGUGCACUUGCUAUCAGGUACAGCCUACGACAAUUUUGCUUGGGGGAAAAAAUCAGGGGAAAUGUAGCUUUGACUUCGGUGAAAGUGUUAUAGUCCUUUGAAAAAUACUCUGAGUGGGAUUGAGGAACGCAGCAAGCCUUUUGGGAUGAACUGUGGGUGCUUAUUUGGGCAUAAAGGGAAAUUUCUAUUCAGGUAGUGUCUUUUUAUGGCUGAGUAACUCGCCUAC